rnacentral:rRNA from 1 species
UCUGGUUGAUCCUGCCAGUAGUCAUAUGCUUGUCUCAAAGAUUAAGCCAUGCAUGUCUAAGUAUAAAUAGUAUACAGUGAAACUGCGAAUGGCUCAUUAAAACAGUUAUAGUUUAUUUGAUAAUUGACAAUUACAUGGAUAACCGUGGUAAUUCUAGAGCUAAUACAUGCUUAAACGCCCGACUUUAUGGAAGGGUGGUAUUUAUUAGACUGAAGCCAAUAUUCUUUGUGUCUAUUGCGGUGAUUCAUAAUAACUGAUCGAAUCUCUUUUUGAGAUAAAUCAUUCAAGUUUCUGCCCUAUCAGCUUUCGAUGGUAGUGUAUUGGACUACCAUGGCAGUAACGGGUAACGAAGAAUUAGGGUUCGAUUUCGGAGAGGGAGCAUGAGAAACGGCUACCACAUCUAAGGAAGGCAGCAGGCGCGUAAAUUACCCAAUCCUGACUCAGGGAGGUAGUGACAAGAAAUAGCAAACCGGGAACCUCAUGGUUUCACGGUAUUGCAAUGAGAACAAUUUAAAACCCUUAGCGAGAAUCAAGUGGAGGACAAGUCUGGUGCCAGCACCCGCGGUAGUUCCAGCUCCACUAGCGUAUAUUAAAGUUGUUGCAGUUAAAAAGCUCGUAGUUGAACCUCUGUCUGGGGCUAGUUUUGGCUUUGGUCAGGCUAGUUCUAGGCAUCCGCCUACAAGACUUAGAGGGCAUUUAGUUGUUCACUAGGAGGAGUAGGCAUUUUACUUUGAAAAAAUUAGAGUGUUUAAGGCAGGCAAUCGCCCGCAUAUAUUAGCAUGGAAUAAUAGAAUAGGACACUUUUCCAUUUCGUUGGUUAUUGGAAUCGUGUAAUGAUUAAUAGGGACAGUUGUGGGCAUUUGUAUUUAAUUGUCAGAGGUGAAAUUCUUGGAUUUAUUAAAGACAAACUAACGCGAAAGCAUUUGCCAAGGAUGUUUUCAUUAAUCAAGAACGAAAGUUAGGGGAUCAAAGACGAUCAGAUACCGUCCUAGUCUUAACUAUAAACUAUUCCGACUCAAUGUUUGACUGGCUUAUAUAACCAGUUGAGCGUUGUAUGAGAAAUCAAAGUCUUUAGGUUCUGGGGGGAGUAUGGUUGCAAAGCUGAAACUUAAAGGAAUUGACGGAAGAGCUCAACCAGGAGUGGAUUCUGCGGCUUAAUUUGACUCAACACGGGGAAACUUACCAGGUUAAAACAAUAGUGGGAUUGACAGUUUGAGAGCGCUUUCUUGAUUGGUUGGGUGGUGGUGCAUGGCCGUUCUUAGUUGGUGGAGUGAUUUGUCUGCUUAAUUGCGUUAACGAACGAGACCUUAACCU